UACACACCGCCCGUCACACCAUGGGAGUUGGCUUUACCUGAAGGCGGUGCGCUAACCCGCAAGGGAGGCAGCCGACCACGGUAGGGUCAGCGACGUGGGGUG
rnacentral:rRNA from 1 species